rnacentral:rRNA from 1 species
AACGAACGCUGGCGGCGUGCCUAAUACAUGCAAGUCGAACGCAGUGGGGACGGGUGAGUAACACGUGGGUAACCUCCCAUCAGAGGGGAUAACACUUCGAAACAGGUGCUAAUCCUAUACUAUUGGCUGAACCCUCGGUGCAUCAGCUAGUUGGUGAGGUAACGGCUCACCAAGGCCACGAUGCAUAGCCGACCUGAGAGGGUGAUCGGCCACAAUGGGACUGAGACACGGCCCAGAAUCCUACGGGAGGCAGCAGUAGGGAAUCUUCGGCAAUGGACGAAAGUCUGACCGAGCCACGCCGCGUGAGUGAAGAAGGUUUUCGGAUCGUAAAACUCUGUUGUUAGAGAAGCGGUAUCUAACCAAAAAGCACCGGCUAACUACGUGCCAGCAGCCGCGGUAAUAC